rnacentral:rRNA from 1 species
GGGCCCGCACAAGCGGUGGAGCAUGUGGUUUAAUUCGAUGAUACGCGAGGAACCUUACCAGGGCUUAAAUGUUAGGUGACAGAUCUAGAAAUAGAUUUUUCUUCGGACACUUAACAAGGUGCUGCAUGGUUGUCGUCAGCUCGUGCCGUGAGGUGUCAGGUUAAGUCCUAUAACGAGCGCAACCCCUGUUGUUAGUUGCCAGCGAGUAAUGUCGGGAACUCUAGCAAGACUGCCAGUGCAAACUGUGAGGAAGGUGGGGAUGACGUCAAAUCAUCACGGCCCUUACGUCCUGGGCUACACACGUGCUACAAUGGUAGGUACAGAGAGCAGCCAAUGCGCGAGCAUGAGCAAAUCUAUAAAACCGAUCUCAGUUCGGAUUGGAGUCUGCAACUCGACUCCAUGAAGUUGGAAUCGCUAGUAAUCG